GCAAGUUGCAUGUUCUUUUGUUAGGUGAGAACCUGGGGGUGAGUCUCCUUUUGAUGUCUGAGUUUAUUCCCAGACCAUGCGAUGAAACUCUGCCUAUGUGACUUACUGGAGGAAAUGAACAAAGAGCUUUCUCCAGCUUUGGUCCAAAGAAUCAAUGCCUAGAUUGUUUAGCUUCUCCAUUGGCUUUACUUGCUCUUCCUUGACAUGAAAUCCAAGAAUAUUACUUCACUUCAUUUCAUGGUUCGACACAAGACAGGACAGCUUUCAAGAUACCACAUGGACCCGCACGUGUUCAUCAUUUACACUGGCAGAGGUUGAAAACAACAAUAUUGUAUCUUUGAAGCUAUAUAAGCCUACGAUUUGUUUUGGGGUCACUCAAUAGAUUGGAGGUUCAACUUGUUCUGCGUUGAUCUGAAAGGAAUCUUGUAAAAUUGAACAAAAUUAGCUGGCAUGCUCCCUAACCUCCACCACUGAGACAGAAGUGUUACACCCUCCUUCCAAUGUAAAUUUUUCAGAGCCUAUUCAUAGUUCUAUAUAAACUCCCUGUCCUUCACUAUUUUUCAUAAGAACGCACAUUACCAAUCUACUUUCAAAAGCAUAAUGAA